GAUGAAGAACGCAGCAAAAUGCGAUAAGUAAUGUGAAUUGCAGAAUUCAGUGAAUCAUCGAAUCUUUGAACGCACAUUGCGUCCGCCAGUAUUCUGGCGGGCAUGCCUGUUCGAGCGUCAUUUCAACCCUCAAGCACAGCUUGGUGUUGGGACUCGCGUUAAUUCGCGUUCCUCAAAUUGAUUGGCGGUCACGUCGAGCUUCCAUAGCGUAGUAGUAAAACCCUCGUUACUGGUAAUCGUCGCGGCCACGCCGUUAAACCCCAACUUCUGAAUGUUGACCUCGGAUCAGGUAGGAAUACCCGCUGAACUUAAGCAUAUCAAUAAGCGGAGGA
rnacentral:misc_RNA from 1 species